AUGUCAUCAAGCUGAAGAAGGAGUCCUACUUGUCUUUGUUGGCUUGUGGGACCCCAGAAGCAGCUCACAGGUACCGGCAGGCCAAGCGUGCCGCAGCCCGUGCGUUCGCAGAGGCAAAAACUCGGGUCUGGGAGGAGUUCGGGGAGGCUAU